rnacentral:rRNA from 1 species
CACGUAGGGCGCAAGCGUUGUCCGGAAUUAUUGGGCGUAAAGAGCUCGUAGGCGGUCUGUUGCGUCCGCUGUGAAAACCCGGGGCUUAACCCCUGGCUUGCAGUGGAUACGGACAGACUAGAGGUAGGUAGGGGAGAAUGGAAUUCCCGGUGUAGCGGUGAAAUGCGCAGAUAUCGGGAGGAACACCGGUGGCGAAGGCGGCUCUCUGGGGUAUUUCUGACGCUGAGGCACGAAAGCCAGGGGAGCGAACGGG